rnacentral:rRNA from 1 species
UACAUGGGGUGCAAACGUUGCUCGGAAUUAUUGGGCGUAAAGCGCACGUAGGCGGUUUGUUAAGUCGGAUGUGAAAUCCCUCGGCUCAACUGAGGAAGUGCAUCCGAAACUGGCAAGCUUGAGUACGAAAGAGGGUCGCGGAAUUCCCGGUGUAGAGGUGAAAUUCGUAGAUAUCAGGAGGAACACCGGCGGCGAAGGCGGGUCUCUGGGCAACAACUGACGCUGAGGAGCGAAAGCGUGGGGAGCGAACAGG